rnacentral:rRNA from 1 species
UGCAUAUCAAUAAGCGGAGGAAAAGAAACCAACAGGGAUUGCCUCAGUAGCGGCGAGUGAAGCGGCAAAAGCUCAAAUUUGAAAUCUGGCGUCUUUGGCGUCCGAGUUGUAAUUUGAAGAAGGUAUCUUUGGGCCCGGCUCUUGUCUAUGUUCCUUGGAACAGGACGUCACAGAGGGUGAGAAUCCCGUGCGAUGAGAUGACCCGGGUCUGUGUAAAGUUCCUUCGACGAGUCGAGUUGUUUGGGAAUGCAGCUCUAAGUGGGUGGUAAAUUCCAUCUAAAGCUAAAUAUUGGCGAGAGACCGAUAGCGAACAAGUACAGUGAUGGAAAGAUGAAAAGAACUUUGAAAAGAGAGUGAAAAAGUACGUGAAAUUGUUGAAAGGGAAGGGCUUGAGAUCAGACUUGGUAUUUUGCAUGCUGCUCUCUCGGGGGCGGCCGCUGCGGUUUACCGGGCCAGCAUCGGUUUGGAGCGGCAGGAUAAUGGCGGAGGAAUGUGGCACGGCUUCUGCUGUGUGUUAUAGCCUCUGACGAUACUGCCAGCCUAGACCGAGGACUGCGGUUUUUACCUAGGAUGUUGGCAUAAUGAUCUUAAGUCGCCCGUCUUGAACCACGGACC